UUCACAAUUUACCUGGUUGUCUCAGUGUUGUUUGUGUCAUCCAUUUGUUGAAUUAUGAUUAGUUGUGUUGUAGUCUGUGA